CUAGAUCAAAGAUAUUUAAUGAUGAAAUCAAAUGUGCUGAAUGCAUUUCCUUCCUAAUUAAACAUUUGCAAAGUACAUUUUUUACAUUGUGUGUAGACUUCAUGCUUGCAGUCUUCUUCUUUUGGGGUUUUAACAGCAAUUGACAACCAGCCUAAACAGGGGCCGAUAGUCCACUCUCCAUGUCGGAGUCUUGUCCCUUCUACAACACCUGACUUGUACAUAACAUAAUGUCUCUUAUGAAAUAUGAUUUGGUCUUUCUACCAGGCUCAGGGAUCAAGCUGAACUGCUCAGUUUUCUGUGGGACUAACGUGGAACAUCACUGUCAUCCUAGCUGGCAUUUAAAUGGAAUCCCUUUCAACAAUACUGAUGGAUACAGUCAAACCACCACCAUAAAGCCUUCAAAGAAUACCAUCUCCACUGCCGUCCUGAGCAUUGAGAAAGUGUCAGCUAAAGAUUUCCAGACUGAAUUCAAAUGCAUCGGCAAGGGCUCAUUUGAAAUCAGUUCUUCAACUUUAACUCUGAAGCGGAGAGAGUCAAUAAUUCCACUUGUCAUUAAAGGAGUGUGUAUGGUGAUCUUCUGUGUACUUGCCACUGUGUUGGUCAAGUACUUUGCUAUCGACCUCGCGCUCUUAUUCAGAUCCUACUUCCCACACAGGAGUCACUAUGACGGUAAGGAAGACAGGAUUUAUGUCCGUACGUCUCCUUAUUUCACUGCUCAAAUAACUCUCUGAAAACACUGUUGUUUUUACAUUUCUGCUUGUGUACAGAUGAAACAAACAAGGUACAACUUGGUAGUUUAGUGUUUAGUUUAGUAGUAGUAUUAGUUGGCUUUCGAGGUGCUUGUACAGAGGCAAGUUUGAAAAUGAAAAUCAUUUUGGGGUUUGGAGUUAGAAAGAAGUAGCCUACUCCUCAUCUAUGCUUGUGGCUGGCAGCUAAAACCAACCAGUUUCAGCUUGGUCAGUGUAAU
rnacentral:lncRNA from 15 species